UUCAGUCAACAGCAAAAGUUAACACUUUCUAAUCUUAGUUACUGAUCAGGGUUAGUUAUAUAGCUGAACUGGUGUGCUAUCUACUUCGCUUAAUUCCUGAACUGCAAUACAGAAGGAACCAGGUUUCCAAAGUUAGGAGACAAAACAACAACAUACUCAGGUGCAAGGUAUGCAAGUCAUUAUUACUAAUUCUAAAAUGAACUUAUGUAACCUUUACUUGACCAUCUUUAAUGUAUUGUGGGUCACCACAGGUUAAUUGAGUAUUGCUUAAAAGCCUUCCAUAAACAUUGGGUUCAGCAAAGAGGUUAAGCAGUUUGUCUGGGGUCAAGAACUUUUCUGUGAGCUAUGCUCAGUUGUUGAGUUGAGAAUGAAGUUACUGAAGGAAAACGUCAAAAACCAGUUAUUCUGCAAAGAUUUAGCCCAUUCUUUUUCUGCUUUAGUACACCAUAAUGCAUGCUGACUUGGUCUUGUAUGAUUUUGUUAUAAAAGUAAAAUAGUGCAAAGUUGAUUUACAAAUGUAUUAUGGCACAUUGCACCUUAUGUUAUUUCUGUACUUUUAUAGGUUUUUAUACUCUGAGCUACUGCUUCAAAACUUCAGAUGGAUACCAGUACAACAUAACAAUGAAGGAGUGCUGAGGUGCCACCUUUCAGGUGAAGAUGGUGGGGGAUGGUGCUCAAAUCUGCAGAAGUUGAUUGGAAACCCCAGUCAGAGAGAUGUACCAUAGAAAGCAUUCUAUCAGGAUGCAUCACGGUUUGGAAUGGCAACUACUCUUCCCAAGGCCACAAGAAACUGCAGAGUUUUGGAUACAACUCAACAUAUCAUGAAAACUGGCCUCCCCUCUAUGGAGUUCUUCACCAAUUCUCAUUGACUCAGUAAAGCAGCCGACAUAAUCAAAGAUCCCAUCCACACUGUACAUUUUCUCUUCUUACCCUUCCACAUAUACUACCAUACUCAAGAAUGGAAUUCUAUCUACUCUUAUAAGAUUAUAAAACAGAACAAUUAUAAAAUAAGUAGACUCUUGACCUCAUAAUCGAUCUCAUCAUAAACUUGUAUCUUAUCAUCUGUCUGCACCACACUGAAGUAGUAAUAGCGAUAAGGAAAUGGUGGAUGAACUGAAUAAGUAUUUUGCAUUAGUCCAGGGUGGAAAGCAUUAGCAACAUCCCAGAAAUUGAAGAGAGUUGUGGGGGGGGGGGGGGCAUAAGCGAGUGUAAUCACUAUUACUAAGGAGAAGGUGCUUCGGAAGCUGAAAGGCCAACUGGACCGGAUGGACUACACUCCAUUGUUCUGAAAGGUAGCUGAAGAAAUUGCGGGGGCACCGCAGUAGUGACCUUUCAUGAAUUACUAGAGUCUGGAAUGGUUCCAGAGAAAUGGAAAAUCACAAAUAUCACUGAACUUUUUAAAAAGGGAGGUAAAAGACAGGAAAAAAUAGACCAGUUAGACUGACUUCAGCGCCUGGAAAGAUGAUAAAAUCUUUUAUCAAGGAUGAGGUUUAGGGAACUUGGGAGCACAUGAUAAAAUAGGCUGAAGUCCAAAUUUCCUUAAGGGGAGAUCUUGACUAAUAAAUCUAUUGGCAUUCUUUGAGGAAAUAACAGGCAGGAUAAACAGAGGCGAGUCAGUGGAUGUUGAUUACUUGGGUUUUCAGAAGGCCUAUAAUUUACUAAGGGAAGCAAAUUUAUGUAGAUGUAUGUUCCGUUAAAACACAGGAGAAAGAAUCCAUUAUUAAGAACCCAUGUCAACCAGGACAUACACUCUUCUCAUUGCUAUCAUUAAGGAGGAGGUACAGGAACUUGAAGACACACACUCAACGUUUCAGGAAUUGCUUUUCGCUGUCCACCAUCAGAUUUAUGAUUGGACAAUGAACCCAUCCACACUACCUCAACUAUUUGAUUUCUCUUCUUCUGCACUUCUUUGGCAUGAUGCAUUUAAUUUAUACAUACAUAUUUCUUCCUGUAAUAUAUAGUUUUUAUUAUUAUGUAUUGCAAUGUACAACAAAUGCCAGUGAUAUUAAAGGCAUUGAAUCUGUGAAAUUCACUGCCACAGACGGCGGUGGACACCAAGUCAUUGGGUAUAUUCAAAGUGGAGGUCGAUGGGUUCUUAAUUAGUGAGGGCAUCAGAGGUUACCAGAAGAAUGUGGCUGAGAGGAAAUAAUAAAUCAGUCAUGACUGAAUGGCAGUGCAAACUUGA